rnacentral:rRNA from 2 species
CAGGUCUUGACAUCCCUCUGACCGGUCUAGAGAUAGGCCUUUCCUUCGGGACAGAGGAGACAGGUGGUGCAUGGUUGUCGUCAGCUCGUGUCGUGAGAUGUUGGGUUAAGUCCCGCAACGAGCGCAACCCUUAUGCUUAGUUGCCAGCAGGUCAAGCUGGGCACUCUAAGCAGACUGCCGGUGACAAACCGGAGGAAGGUGGGGAUGACGUCAAAUCAUCAUGCCCCUUAUGACCUGGGCUACACACGUACUACAAUGGCCGGUACAACGGGAAGCGAAGCCGCGAGGUGGAGCCAAUCCUAGAAAAGCCGGUCUCAGUUCGGAUUGUAGGCUGCAACUCGCCUACA